UUCGGCUCGGAUAACGUCGAAUACAAUUGUUUCACCUCUGGUUUAAUCUUACCAUAUUCCUUCAAAGCUCUACAGACCUUGCAUUAUCUGACUAAUUUCUUUGAGACUGAAAAACAAAACCAAAAAAUAAAACAGAACACAAAGAUAUACAUGAAAGAUAAUAUAUAUAUAUAUUUGAAUAAAAUUACUUUUGAGAGAGUUGCUUUAACUGACCUACAUUCAAAGAUAUACCAACUGAGAACUGCUUUAAUAUACAUCAAGGAUCUGUUUGUCUUCAUUUGAAGAAAUACAUUGGGACUACCCCAAUUUUCUCAUGAGCAGGCUACACAUAUGAAAUAUAAAUAAAUAAAGUUAAGAAAAACUGCAACCGUUUGAAAACUAGAAUAAAGAAUCAAAACAGGAUAUACAACAAAACAAUCUGACCAACAGUUUGAUCAGACCAGCAAUGGUGUGACUCAGCAAAAUUAUUUGUUUUCCAUAAGUAUAACAAAUAUAAUACUUAGAAACGUCUCUACAAGCCAAUCCAAAUAGACGUGCACAGAAGUUUUACCUGAUCAUCCAGCCCUGGUCUCCGUAGUGACUGUUGAAUAAAUACACACCAACAAUCAGAUCACUCAGAUAAAUGUAAGGUACCUGAUUGCUUUUCAGAAUGUUGGUAUCGUGUAUUCUUAUAUGUUAACAGGGGAUCUUGAUAACCUGAUUCCAUAUUCAACUUUAACCCGUCUUCUUCUAUUUGUUGCAUCCACAACCUCUGAAAAAUUCCUGAUAGACAGAAAAAAAGUAAGACUAAGCAUGUAUAAUGUAACAUAAAUUGAGUCUUGACAGGAGCUACUUUUUGCAAUUUUAACAAAUUAUUACGUAGGACAAAUGAUCAUGAACCUUUUUGCUGCUGGUAUUAACAGAUACAUACAACAAACAUACAUACAUGUAGAAAAUAUAGAUAACUUCAUGGCUCUUAAUGUCUUAGGGCAUCUCUAAUGGUUCGGCAAAUUUGGUGGUCCACGUAUACAGAUUUGAUGAUAUUUUGAUGAAAGUUUUGAUUCAAAAAUGUGCUCCUUCUAAUGGUUCGGCAAAUUAAAGCGGCUAAUGGAUGACCACUUUACUAAAGAGACUAAAGCGGGCCUAUGGACACCGCUUGAAUGUAAUGGGGCGGCCUUAGAGUGCCACUUCACCCAAUGGUUAAGUGAGGCGGGUAACAAUGUGCCACUUAAACCACCGUUUUGUUUAAAGCGGGCAUCCAAGAGCCACAUUAGUGAGGCGGGUAAUAAAGUGCCGCUUUAAGUGGAUGUCCAAGUGCCACUUAGUUAAAAAAAAAAAAAAAAAAGUGCCACUUAGUUAAAACGGCCUUUCAAGUGCCACUUGAAGCGGCACUUCAUUAGCCGCUUUAAGUGAAGCGACCUUCUCUUGCCCGCCUCAACCCAUCAUCAAAUUUGUUGUUUUUCAUCAAAAUUUCACCAAAUUUGAUGAUUUUUUGAUGAUUAUUGGUGAAAUAUCAAAUUUGAUGAACUUUUGAUGACCAUUAGAUGAAGUUUUUCUCACUUUCUCAUCAAAUUUGAGUUUGGUGACAGAUUUGAUGAACCAUUAGAGAUGCCCUUAGUAUUCCAAAUGACCAGCCCCAAUUCACAUGGCCCUUACAGUAUACGUGGACUGUGGGCCAAUCUAAACAAAUAGAAGAAGGGAAAACAAUAUCCCAGAAAAAAAAUUUUGAGAAAAUAAAACAAAUGGGAGUACAGCCAACAGUCUAACAAACAGAGGAACGGCAAAUAAGAUGAAAUUGGCAGCGGUAAUGCCUCAAUACUAACAAGUAAGAUAAACUGGUUUAGUAUACUAUUGAGCAUAGCUUCAUUUGAAUUGAGAAUUUCUCAUGCUUAUGAUCACCGUAUUAGAUCGUUCAUGUAGUUUUGUACACUUCAACAGGAUUUAGAAACUACUAUAAGAAUGUAAAUGUCACUUACAUAAAGCUAGAUAUGGCAUUGGAUUUCAACCUGCCUUGUAAAUAUUGCUUGCCCGAAACAGAUUACAGGUGCUUGAGGUUCUGUAGAAUAUUAGAAACAAAUCAAUUUUAAGAAACUCUUGCAACAUACAAUUAAAAAAACGUAAAUUAACAGAAGCAUAAAAAGCAGUAUAAUCAACAAUUUUGUUUUCUGAUUUUGUUUUUUACUAAAUGGACAAACAUCUGCCAUUUAUCGAAGAGUCGAUAUCACUGCUUGGUUGAAGAAUUUUGGACUCUAUAUAUACCUUUGCUAAAUACAUGCCAAAGUAUAAGAAAAAUAGUACCUAGUAGUUUGUAAAUACAUAAGCCAUAAGGUAUCCUCAGCUGUAAGAAAAUGUGACUUCACUGAAAAUGUCUCAAACUAUGGCUCAGUGCCAAAGACAGUAAGAUAAAUAUAAGAGUAGUAAGAAAAUCAUAUCAACACAAAAAUGCAAAAAGACAAACAAAAACAAAGCCAAGAGUUUAGACCUCAUCAAUGAUUUACUCUGUUGCAUGCUACUUACUGUUUUGUAAUUACAUCCAAUAAGAUAUGUAACAUGAAAAUAUAUAAUACUCUAUCCAAAUCCAUGAUGGAGGAAAUUAGCCCUGUGGGACAUUAGGACUUACUAGUAUUUCACACAAGAAAAAUCAGCCAGUUCACCUUUUCUCCAAAUAAUCAUUUGGAUGUUCAGAUGACUAAUUAACAGUUUGAAUAUGAAGUAAGAACUUGUAUACAAGUAUUCCACUACUCAGUAAUAAAGAAAACCCUAAUAAUAACAAACACCAGUCCAACACCAUUAAUAAAUCACACAAAAAACAUGCAAUAAAGAAAAGUACAAACUUAAUAAGUUCUUUCUUCAAACUUAAAUCACACAAAAAACUUACAAAAAAAAAAAAAAAAACUAUUCAAUCUUUUCUACAUAACUAAGAACAAACAGUUUAUUAAUCUAUAAAAGAAAUUAAUAAUUAACAAAAAUUCAAAUUAAAGAAUGAAAAUCAACAAAGUAAUGAUCGAAAGCAGAAGAAUAUAUCAAAUUGAAGAAGAUCAGAUCAAAAUCUUACCUUAAUCAAAUUGAAGCAACCAAGAAGAAGAUGGGGGUGGAUAACGAAAGAAUUAACAACAAUUCGAUCGAAAGCGUUGGAACUUCUUCUUCUAGUAAUAAGAAGAUUGAAAUCUCUGGAAAGUAUGAAGAAGAAGAUGAUGAAGAAGAUGUUUGUAGAAUAAAAAAACCUUUUCUCUUCGAAAGACGGGGAGAGAGUUGGAGAAGAACAAACUUUUCUCUUCGAAAUUAAAUUGAGAUAACUCUUGAUAAUCCUAGAGAUCUGAUAUAACAAUCUAGUGGUUGUAAA
rnacentral:lncRNA from 1 species